UACGGAGGAUCCAAGCGUUAUCCGGAAUCAUUGGGUUUAAAGGGUCCGUAGGCGGUUUGGUAAGUCAGUGGUGAAAGCCCAUCGCUCAACGGUGGAACGGCCAUUGAUACUGCCAGACUUGAAUUAUUAGGAAGCAACUUGAAUAUGUAGUGUAGCGGUGAAAUGCUUAGAGAUUACAUGGAAUACCAAUUGCGAAGGCAGGUUGCUACUAAUGGAUUGACGCUGAUGGACGAAAGCGUGGGUAGCGAACAGG
rnacentral:rRNA from 1 species